ensembl:lncRNA
GCUGAGAGCUCUGCCGCGGGCGCUGAGUCCCCAGCCAUGGGUGGUGGCCCCACACUCCCACCCCCAGUGCUGAGAAAUGCCAAAGCCCCGCACGCCCCGCAGCGAUACGGAGAGGAAGAAGAUGAAUUGUUUGGGUUGCAGCGCACGGACAGACGUUGGCUUUCUGUCUAAGUUUGGGACAAUCAUUCUCACGAGGAACCUCAGAACUUCUCACACAAUGGAAACUUCAUUUUCCAGCCAACCCCAAUGUUUUCAGGGCUGAAAGCUGACACUGGGAGGGGGAGAACUCUGACUCAUAGCAGGCAGGUCGGACGGCGUGCCAGAUCAGCCAGGGCCCAGCAAAGCUCCGCGUUAUGCUGGAAAAUAACGAUGGAAAAUUCAUUUAAGAAUCGUGUAUGGCUUUGCCGGGGUGGAGGAGGGAAGGGGCAAAUUUAAUUCAGGCCCAGAACUCCCCUCAAACGGAUGCUGGAUGUAAACUUUAGCUGCGUUUCUGUCAGCCUUAAUGGAUUUCACUUAUGGGAACUAUAAUAAACAGCUCAUUAUGGAGUCAGCUGCGGGAGCGUUUUGAGCCCAACAGGGUCAUUUGUUUUCCAAGGCAGAUUUAGUCUAAAGGGGGUGGACAGAAUAAUCCCGCGUUCAAAGUGUCUGCAUUAGUGCUGGAGGAGCGGUGACAAAGUGGCCUUGGGUCCAAAGCAAUGGCUGCUCUUUGCCCGAGCACGGCAAGAGCGCGGGGACAUCCCGGUGCUCACCAAGCACAGCUCAGGGAACAGCCAUUGCUUCUUCAAAUGUUCCUGUUAACAGCACUUAAAAAAAAACCCAUAAAUUCAGCCCAGAAACCAUCCUGGCUAAUAACGCCGAGGCUGGAACUUGUAAAUGCCAUCGCAGCUGCAGCUGUUGUUGUUGUGAGCACUUUGAAAGCCGCUGCUUUCUUUGCUGGAAUAAUGAUCUGCACUGUGUGAUGACCCUCGAAACGUAACAGUGCUGAGAGAUAACAGAGGAGCUGGGUGCUCGGGGAAAACAAUUUGCUGUGAGAAAAACAGCCUGAGUCUUCAUUACAUUGGCUCUGAGUCCUAUUCCUGAAGAAGCUGUU